rnacentral:lncRNA from 1 species
CCAUAUUAAGUAAUUAUUAACUGCUUGGAAGUUCUUGAUAAAUACGCUUGCAACAUGAUUUUUUAUUAGCAUAUCAGUCAAAGGCAAGUCCUCUAUACUGAAAGCAAGCUGAAGGCCGAUGAAUAGACUACAAUACGUGCUGUGAAUGUCGUCAAGGGUUGGUCGUAUGUGUGCAAGAGCAAGACGGAUGGAGCCUACACUUUAAGGAGGUACAAUCAGCUAAUCUUGAUUCCAAGCGAUGAACUUCCAAUAAGCGAGUAGCAGAAGCAUGCGCUGUAAAACUAUGACUGAGAACCAAUAUUUCGUGGACCCC